CCCGUAACAAUCACGUCAGAAGCCGGAAGCGGAACCAGCCACCGGAAAUUACGACACCAAGCGCCUCAAUAGAAAGCCGAUCAGUCAAGAAGCCGAGCCCAGAGUGGAUCGAUGCCCGCCGGUCUAGACCACAGCCUAAUCAGUGUUGACCUUGGCCACAUCAUGGUCAUAAAGCAUCUGCACAGCCUGUUUGAUCUGGUGCCUACUGGCCUUGACAUUCAGUGAACAUAAGUGAGCUGUUGCCUUCUAUCUCCUUCAUGGCUGACUCGGAGUUCAGGAGAAACUUGGUGAUGGUAUGGUGGUCAAGCUUAUUUCUCCUGGGGGCGCUCUUUUGAGGAUAUUUGGAAUGCCUUCAGAGCGCAGUGUCUUGGACCAUCGAAAGGACCCAAGCCAACAUAUGCAACUUAAACCGUGAGAGCUGAUCCAUGGAGUUGUGGGUGCAAAGUGAAGAUCAAGCAUAAACAAGGCAUUACAAUGGAAUCCAAGCCUGGAAGAGGAAUACCAGAGAAUUUUGGGAAAUUCACGCAGGUCUAAGAUUCCAUCGGGCCUCAGGGUUGCUCCAUGAAGGGUUCCAUGUCCCAAUGGCUCUGGCUGUGUGUAUUUAUUACAGCUCUUUCAUUCAUUCAACCACAAUUUAUUAAGCCCUACCCUUCUCCGGUUCUGUUAAGUUCUGAGGAUUCUAGAAUAUGGAAGACACCAGCAGUGGCCUCUCGAUAUCCUCUCUCCUGUUAAGAAAAUGCUGAUUUUGUUCAAGGCAGCAGCCUGUCUGGUUACAAACCGCAUGUCCCAGCCCUCCUUGCAGCUGGGAGGGGGCUGGCUCAAACUGUGGGCUCCUUUGCUCUUCAUCCUCUCCCCUCUCUGGAAAGUAGAUGGGGUGCUGGAGAGGAAGAGCCACCUUGGGACCCUGACAUGAACAUGCGGGACAAAGAUUAUACCAAAGACAUUGGAACAAAACCUUGAAAGAAUCAGUCAUUGGCAGCAUCAUCAAAUCGCUGAGAAGGAUCUCUAGACUUCUUGUUAUGUAAGAGAAACAAACCUCCUAGUCUGUUUAAAGGACUGCUUGGGUGGUUUCUGUAACUUGCAACUUUACAGAAUCCUAAGCGGUGCAAACAGAAUGAGCCAUAAACCCCGCCCUGUGUGUGGACAGAGAGCAGACAACCAAAAGGCAACCAGGCAAACAGUGCUGUUAGCAGGGCAGAGGAGAAACAUACCUGGCCCUCCGGGUGUGUGUAUCAAGCACAACCCACAAGAACCGGGGGGUCAGAAAGGAUUUCCUAGAAGAUGCAACACUUGGGAUAAGUCAUGAAAGGUAAGUGGGGGUUUAGGGAGUGAAAGGGAGGGAGAGAGUGUGAAUGAAUGGUUCCGGGCAGAGGCUGUGUAGAAUGGCUGGAGCAUAGAAAGAGAGCAGUGAUGCAGGAGAUGAGGAAAUGAAGUUGUUCAGUGGUGUGCAACUCUUUGCGAUCCCAUGGACUGUGUUACUUCCAGGGUCCUUCAUCCGUGGAAUUUUCCAGUCAAGAGUACUGGAGUGGGUUUCCAUUUCCUUCUCCAGGGGAUCUUCCCGACCUGAGGAUUAAGCCCAGGUCUCCCACAUUGCAGGCAGACACUUUACCCUCUGAGCCAUCAGAGAAGCAGGAAAUGAGGCCUAGGCUGCAAAUCUUAGUACUCUGGCCACAGUAAGGAGCUAGAUGUUUAUCCUUAAGACAAUGGAGCAUUUCAUUCUCAUUUUAUCAAAUAGUGGCGAAUGGAUGGGUAGGGCAGGGUUGGGUGAAGAACAUUGCUGAUACUGUCACCCAGAAGAAACGAGGCAGUGGCCAAAGCCUCAGAGGAUGGAAAAGGAUCGCAGGAAGGUUGAGGGGUCUGAGGGGCAGUAGGAAACCAUACCCAAGCAGCUUUGAAGCGCAAGAGUCACACAAAAGGGAGAAGCAAUGAUAAAAAUGGAAGCAUUCAGGGAGUGGCUGACCUGGGGCUGAGCCAAGAGGACUUGGUAAGGCCAAAGGUGGAAGGAACAUUCAGGGAUGAUGCUCCGUGUACCCGCACGGUGCUCCUGAGGUUUUAUGGAAAGGUCAGCCGGGACGGGGACAAUGGGCACGUGGUUGGAGUAUAUGCCAGAACAGUGUGGGCAGAGAGAAAUAAAGGUGGACAGCUGUGUUUGACACAGAUGACAGGGAUGUCAGAUGUGAGGGAUUUAGCUGGUUUCCAAGAGAAUUCAUCUCUGCAAUCCCAGCUUGGGAUGAGUCACUCCACUACUAGGCAAGGGGUCCCUGCCAUGUGCUCAGAAAGCUGGGUUUCAACAACUCCUCUUGGGACUUCUAACACCUACCAAAGAUUGAGCGUCACUGGGUUUGGCUGAUGCUUCUCAGACUUAAAUGUGCAUCCCCAAGUUUCCUGGUAAGUGUAGAUUUCUACUCAGUAGAUCUGGGACUAGGGAGGAGAGUGUGUUUCUAAUAUACUUUAGGGGGACGCUGCUGUUGCUGGUCAUGGACCAUGCUUUGAGUAGCAAGGGUCUAAACAAAAGAACUUGUUGAGAUAGUAGAGAAACAGCUUCUAUACAGAGAUCAGGGAAUUGGCUUCUUAGCCUGCACAAGGCUGAAAUGAUUUACUGGCAUUCUCCAAAGGACGUUGUUUCAAUUUUUCUUUUUUUAUUGAGGUCAAGGCACUAGAGGAAUGGGCCAGCUUAGAAACAGGCGUAAUUCAGGAUUGUCUGCUUUUUCCUCAGCCUCGGUAAUGAAAUCUUCAGAGGGUGCUUGUCCCAAGGUUUCUGCCCAUGUGGGAUUUCCUGGGAGGUUUUCCCCUCGUCACCACCCUGCUGACAUCUACAGUCUCUGCUGUAUUAAGUCUGAAGGCGACACAGUGGAGGGAAGGCAGGACAAAGACAUUGCUGGAGUGAGUUUACUGAAAACAGCGGAGAAGAAAUGGAAUUUUAAGUACAGUUGCCCCUUGGUGUCCAUAGGGUAUUGGUUCCAGGACCCUGCAGAUACCAAAAUCCACGAAUGCUCAUGUCCCUUAUAGGGAAUAGUGUCGUAUUUGUGUAUAACCUCUAUACACAUCCUCCCCUAGGCUUCAUUUUUAUUUUAAAAAGUAUUUAUUUAUUUGGCUGCGCCAGGUCUUAGUGUAUGUUCAUUGUGACAUGCAGGAUUUUAAAAAUGUAUUAUUACUAUUUUUAGUUGCAGCACGUGCGAUCUUUAGUUGUGGCACGUGGGAUCCAGUUCCCUGACCAGGAAUCGAAUCUAGGCCCCCUGCACUGGGAUCAUGGAGUUUCAGCCACUGGAUGGCCAGGGAAGUGCCCCUCAUGUAUACUUGAAAUCAUCUGUAGAUUACUUAUAAUACCUAAUACAAUGUAAAUACUAUGUAAAUAGUUGCCAGCACAUGGCAAAUUCAGGUUUUGCUGUUUGGAACUUUCUGGAAUUUUGUUUCCAAAUAUUUUCAACCCAUGGUUGGUUGAAUCCAUGGAUGUGAAACUCGCAGAUUUGAAGGGAUGACUGUAACUGCUGUGCUGACAAAUGAACUAGAAUCAAUAACCAAGAUUCUCCCAGUUCCUCGGAGAGCCCUCCCGGGCUGGGGGAGGGGCUGCAGUGCAGGUCACGAAGACCACUCCUCCUACGUAACUGUCAGCUGAACUUCAGUCAAUUUAGUCGCUCAGUCGUAUCCAUCUCUUUGCAAUCCCAUGGACUGAAGCAUGCCAGGGUUCCCUGUCCAUUACCAACUCCUGGAGUUCACUCAAACUCAUGUC